CAUCUGUAUAAACUUUAGUUUAUACAAGCAAAAGACAGGGAACUCUGUGAUGAAGAAAUCUCUAAGGACUCUGAGAAGAAUGGUCCUGUACUCGAGUUUGAGUUUUAAACUAGGAAAAUGACUAAUAAUUGAAAAUAAUGGGAACUCUGUGGAAUUUUCUUUGUAUGUCAUCAUGAAAUUGCUGUGUAACAAACAACCAAGAUCCAAAAUAGCAAGACUGGGAGGUACGACUGCAGAAAAAAAUUCAUCCCAUGAUAAGAACCAAUGGGUUGAAACUGUCCAAUAAACGUUGCUUAAUGAAGCCCAGGAGCGAUUAUAAACAUCCAAUGAAUGAGUUUGUGUGCUGCAGGAAGAGACCAACAAGAAACAGAAGAUCAGUCAGUGCAUGGGUAGAUGACAUCUGUGCAUCCCAUUGUGUGAAAAAUAAUCUGCUGAUUUUGCCCUUUGUUCUAAAAUAAAUUCAUUACAUAGGCCAUAUCGGCAAUAAGACAGCUGUGUAUCAUCUAUGACUGCUGUGAGCAUGGGGAGUGUUCCAGGCUAAGUAGGCCUUGGAAGGAGCUGAGAGCAUUGCUCUACUGGGACUUCAAUUCUGAACCUGAGGGAGUCAUGAUGACCUCCCCAGAGUUUUUUCUGCUUUGCUAGGUUUGCCCAUUUCCCAAAUUUCUAGAUUGCU
rnacentral:lncRNA from 1 species